rnacentral:rRNA from 1 species
GAUGAACGCUGGCGGCGUGCCUAAUACAUGCAAGUCGAGCGAACAGAUGAGGAGCUUGCUCCUCUGACGUUAGCGGCGGACGGGUGAGUAACACGUGGAUAACCUACCUAUAAGACUGGGAUAACUUCGGGAAACCGGAGCUAAUACCGGAUAAUAUAUUGAACCGCAUGGUUCAAUAGUGAAAGACGGUUUUGCUGUCACUUAUAGAUGGAUCCGCGCCGCAUUAGCUAGUUGGUAAGGUAACGGCUUACCAAGGCAACGAUGCGUAGCCGACCUGAGAGGGUGAUCGGCCACACUGGAACUGAGACACGGUCCAGACUCCUACGGGAGGCAGCAGUAGGGAAUCUUCCGCAAUGGGCGAAAGCUUGACGGAGCAACGCCGCGUGAGUGAUGAAGGUCUUCGGAUCGUAAAACUCUGUUAUUAGGGAAGAACAAAUGUGUAAGUAACUAUGCACGUCUUGACUGUACCUAAUCAGAAAGCCACGGCUAACUACGUG